CUGGCUCAGGAUGAACGCUAGCGGCAGGCUUAACACAUGCAAGUCGAGGGGUAGAGAUAGCUUGCUAUCUUGAGACCGGCGCACGGGUGCGUAACGCGUAUGCAACCUACCUUGAACAGGGGGAUAGCCCAGAGAAAUUUGGAUUAAUA
rnacentral:rRNA from 1 species